UUUCCGGUUGAUCCUGCCGGACCUGACUGCUAUCGGAUUGAUACUAAGCCAUGCGAGUCUUUGUAGUAAUACAAGGCAGACGGCUCAGUAACGCGUAGUCAACCUACCCUAUGGACGGGAAUAAUCUCGGGAAACUGAGCAUAAUACCCGGCGUACCACCAUUCCUGGAAUGGUUGGUGGUUAAAAUGAUUCGUCGCCGUAGGAUGGGACUGCGACUUAUCAGCUUGUUGGUGAGGUAAAGGCCCACCAAGGCGAUUACAGGUACGGGCUCUGAGAGGAGAAGCCCGGAGAUGGGUACUGAGACACGGACCCAGGCCCUAUGGGGCGCAGCAGGCGAGAAAACUUUGCAAUGUGCGAAAGCACGACAAGGUUAAUCCGAGUGAUUUCUGCUAAAGGAAUCUUUUGCCAGUUCUAAAAAUACUAGUGAAUAAGGGGUGGGCAAGUUCUGGUGUCAGCCGCCGCGGUAAAACCAGCACCUCAAGUGGUCAGGAGGAUUAUUGGGCCUAAAGCAUCCGUAGCCUGCUCUGUAAGUUUUCGGUUAAAUCUAUAUGCUCAACGUAUAGGCUGCCGAAAAUACUGCAGUGCUAGGAAGUGGGAGAGGUAGACGGUACUUGAUAGGAAGGGGUAAAAUCCUUUGAUCUAUCGAUGACCACCUGUGGCGAAGGCGGUCUACCAGAACACGUUCGACGGUGAGGGAUGAAAGCUGGGGGAGCAAACCGGAUUAGAUACCCGGGUAGUCCCAGCUGUAAACGAUGCAGACUCGAUGAUGCAUUGGCAUAUAGCCAGUGCAGUGUCGCAGGGAAGCCGUUAAGUCUGCCGCCUGGGAAGUACGUACGCAAGUAUGAAACUUAAAGGAAUUGGCGGGGGAGCACCACAAGGGGUGAAGCCUGCGGUUCAAUUGGAGUCAACGCCGGG
rnacentral:rRNA from 1 species